ACGAGAGGACCGGAGUGGACGUACCUCUGGUGUUCCGGUUGUCACGCCAGUGGCAUUGCCGGGUAGCUAUGUACGGAAGGGAUAACCGCUGAAAGCAUCUAAGCGGGAAGCCCACCCCAAGAUUAGGUUUCCCGGAUCUUCGGAUCCCUGAAGGGCCCUUGAAGACUACAAGGUUGAUAGGCUGGGUGUGGAAGCGCGGCAACGCGUGAAGCUAACCAGUACUAAUUGCCCGUGCGGCUUAAACCG
rnacentral:rRNA from 1 species